rnacentral:rRNA from 1 species
UAGGGAAUUUUUCACAAUGGGCGAAAGCUGAUGGAGCAAUAUCGCGUGGAUGAUGAAGGUCUUCGGAUCGUAAAAUCCUUUUAUUUGGGACGAAUGACAAUAGUAGGAAAUGAUUAUUGUUUGACUGUACCAUUUGAAUAAGUAACGGCAAACUUCGUGCCAGCAGCCGCGGUAAUACGAAGGUUACAAGCGUUAUCCGGAUUUACUGGGCGUAAAGCGAGCGCGGGCUGAUUUACAAGUCUGGUGUUAAAUACAUUUGCUUAACAAAUGUUUGCAUUGGAAACUGUAAGUCUAGAGUGCGAUAGAGAGUUUUAGAACUCCAUGUGGAGCGGUGGAAUGCGUAGAUAUAUGGAAGAACACCAGUUGUGAAGACGAAAACUUAGGUCGUAACUGACGCUUAGGCUCGAAAGUGUGGGGAGCAAAUAGGAUUAGAUACCCUAGUAGUCCACACCGUAAACGAUGUUCAUUAGAAGUUGAUACAUAAGUGUCAGCAUCGAAGCUAACGCAUUAAAUGAACCGCCUGGGUAGUACAUUCGCAAGAAUGAAACUCAAACGGAAUUGACGGGGACCCGCACAAGUGGUGGAGCAUGUUGUUUAAUUCGACAGUACACGCAAACCUUACCAGGGUUUGACAUGUUGAGCAAAGUUAUAGAAAUAUAAUGGAGGUUAACUCAAACACAGGUGGUGCAUGGUUGUCGUCAGCUCGUGUCGUGAGAUGUUGGGUUAAGUCCCGCAACGAGCGCAACCCUUAUUGUUAGUUAAUUUAUCUAACGAGACUGCUAACGCAAGUUAGAGGAAGGUGGGGAUGACGUCAAAUCAUCAUGCCCUUUAUACCCUGGGCUACAAACGUGCUACAAUGGUCGGUACAAACCGUUGCAAAAUCGUAAGAUCAAGCCAAUCAGAAAAAGCCGAUCUCAGUUCGGAUUGAGGGCUGCAAUUUGUCCUCAUGAAGUUGGAAUCACUAGUAAUCGCGAAUAAGUCAUGUCGCGGUGAAUACGUUCUCGGGUCUUGUACACACCGCCCGUCAGACUAUGAGAGCCGUUAAUACCUAAAACCGUUUUGGUAACCGCAAGGAGCCGAACGUCUAGGGUAGGAAUGGUGAUUGGAGUUAAGUCGUAACAAGGUACCCCUACGAGAACGUGGGGGU